AUUUUGAACAUAUAUUGCCCUGACCCUAUAAAUGUACUACAAAUCCCAGAAUGCACGGGUGUAGAACCACGCGCAGGUGCACUGCAGGUCUUUUUGAGCUGUGACCGUGACGAUGUUAGGGCUGUUAAAUUAAAGGGAUAUAAAACACAGCAUACAAUGUCAUUAUCAGAUUUAAUUCAGAUUCUCGGACGUACUCUGCAGCGUCUGGAGCUGUUUAGCGCUGUGUGUUUUUUUUUUAGGUGAAGUAAUAGAACAAAAAGUGUUAAAAUAUACAUAUUUUUGUCUUGAUCUAUCAUAUUUAGGGCCAGCGCUGGCAGUAAGUGGUCCCCAGAUUCUUCCUCAGUCCCAUCACAGGAACAAUUAAGAAAACUCUAGUGUCUUGGACAGUAUUUUUUGGAUGGCAGCUCCUAAAAAGAGAAGAACCAUCGAAGUCAAUCAUUGCAGAAGACAAAACCCAAAUAAACUGAUACAAGCACAACAUUGAGCCAUGUCCAGAGUGUGGCAACAUGAAACUAAAGCACACUCUGUGUGGAUUCUGCUUUGAAAAGGUCAGGAAGGAGACGGCAAUGAUUCGAAAGCAAAUCUCCAUCGUGGAAAACAGACCUCUCAUUGCUCCUGCUGUAAAAAUUGGCAUAUUGGUAUAGUCCUUGGUAUAGUCUGUUGUUUUGUAUGAAAAUGAAACACACUCUGAAGCAGAUAAAGACAAGAGAAUAAUAGAAUGCACUCGGAAACGUCCUCAUUGGUUUAACAUGUAACUGCUGUGAAAUAAGGUCUUUGUUAAAUAAAGUUUAGAGUUUAGAUUUUUUUUUUAUUUAUUUUUUUACUGUACCAUAUUGGGAAAAAUAAGAGUUAACAUGGCUAAUUAGAAGAUCAAUACAACCUUAAGUCAUUAUCAUCA